rnacentral:sRNA from 1 species
UCCGUAUUAGUCUCAACAGGGAGGGCUC